rnacentral:lncRNA from 1 species
AAGUAGACAACUUUCUGUCACUUUCCUGUCCUUCGGUAAUUUCUCCUUCUGAAUAAAUGAUCAUCAUAUCAAUAUGCUGUAUCUACCUCUUCAUCAUUUUUGUGUUUCUCUUACAUAUUCUGUACCUUGUUGCAGUUCUGAAUUUAGCUUUUGCUCUAAGUCUUCUUUGUUUCGUAAUUAUGCAUUCAUCUCUUCUAGUGAGCAACGCCACUUUGGUUGAGGUAAAUCCAUAUUGAACUAGCACGGUUUAUAUUGUAUUAGAUGUUCGACAUAGAACAAUCUUCCAUGAAUAGAAUCUUAAAUUUAACAUGCAGAACUCUAAGUUGCACAACUUUUCUUGAUGGAUGGUCUUUGUGUAUCUAUUACUUCAGGUUAGCGAGAAAAAAAUAGCUGUGUAGUUGAAGUUCGAUUUGGGAUGAAAAUGAACUUUGAGCAGGACAAACAUAUUGAUUCUCUCUUUUGAUUCUUAUAUCAAUCUCCGAAAAGUGUGUGCUUAUUAAAAAGAUGAUAAGAGAAGUCAGAGAAAAUUGGUAAUAUCACAUUGAAGCUUUCUAAUGUUAAUUGAAAGUACUGGAGAAAGGAAACAUAUCAAUAAGAUUAUUAUCCUAAGUAUGUGGAUAAUCUCCUUCAUAAGUAUCAGAGUACUAGUUGAGAAUGUAACUAACUAUUACCUUGUAUUUGUGCCCAAACCAUGGCACUGCCCAGUUUAAGUUUUCAUGGUUUUUAGAAGGAGAAAAAUUAGCUUUAGUUUCUGAAGUUGAACGGAGGUUAGUGUUAUCAAACAAAGCUCUAGAGCUGAUGGGUGCGUCCCAGUAAUUUGAUACGGAUCCAUCUUGCACAUUGAUUCAAUUGGUUGCUCUUAGGAGCAUGUUGUAAUAAUGGUCUCUUUAUGAGUGAUUUUCUCAUCGUAAUAUCUUGAAUUAAGUCCUAUGGAGAAUUUGGACAAGACAGUUGGAAAAAUUGUGAUCUCUCGAUAGUGGAUUCAUUGUUUUUUGGCCAUUGAUGUAAUCAACCACAUAAAUGGCAAGUACAUUGUCUUCUUGUUCUUCCUAUAAUUUAACUUUUCUGUCUCAGGUAUUGAAUGGUUUGUUGCAGAACCACUUCUGAAAAAUACUCUGUAUUUCAGUUCCUUGCUAUCUGGAAACUUAUCAGAAUUUGAGCUAAUGUUGUAGUCAAUUAGGUAAUAGAUUUACUGCACUUCCGAUUUAUUUUCUUUAUUUAGGUUUUUGGCACUAGAAAGUUAUUUUGGUUCUUCCCACUAUUUGCAAAGGAAGAUUUGGAGAAAAUACCUGUACUAAAUGGCCUAGAUUUUCCCACGCGCUCAUAUAUUGAAGCAUGAGGAACAUUGAUCACCUUCCGAAGUAUGUCUGUUAUUUUUCUUUAGUAGUCAUUAAUUUUCACAAGGUGGGUUUUCUAAUUCGUUCUAUAAAAUUUAAAAUUUAUAAGUUCUUGUUUUUUGGUAAUUUGUCCUUGUAGCAUCUAUAAAGUUGAAUCAUUUACAAAAAACACAUUUUUGCACAAGCAUAUAUAUCUUAUUGUGAACUGAGAAAUAUUGGACAUGUAUCAUGUGCCCCAUAAUCUCAUAAAAUCUACUGUCUAUCUGUGUAGUUUCCAACUUUUGGACCUGCAUGUUCUCUUUUUCGUGAAAUAGAACUCUCAGUUCUUCUGGCUCAGUUAAUGGCAUGUUGAUCUGGCUAUAAUUGAUCCUAUAAAUUCAAUAGAAAUGCUAUUUUUUUACUUUUGUUGUUGUUCAUGAAUACUAACAUGAUUGACACAAGUUUCCCUUUAUCUUAAAGUUAGCUUUCAAAUCAUUUAUACUACUAUAUAUGGUGCAGAUUUUGAAAUUUGAUGAAUUUGAUCUUUUCUCCAUGAGCCCACUCCUCCCUGAGCUGUCUGCAUCUCAUGGUAGCAGCCUUAUUUCAUCUCUUUGCACAAAACAGAAGGCGUAUCAAAUGAAUGAUUCAUUGAUUGAAGGCCCCCAUUUAUGAAUUAUAUUAUAGUCCGAGAAAUGCUACAUCUACGCCCAGGUUUACCACCUGGGUGAUAGAAUGUAGAGGUGGCAACAUUUCAUAGGCUGGUGGACAAAAAAAAAAAAAAUGUUCCACCGGCCUAUGAAAUCUUGCCACUUGUGCAUUCUAUCAAACCCACCUGGGUGUACCAAGUAUCAUUUUUCUUAUAGUUCUAUUUGAGUAGAUUACAAACACUAAAAUGCAUGCUUACUGGGGAAGGUGACAUUUUGGCCUUGCAUAUCUCCUCCCUAACAUCAUUGCUUUCCUCUUUUCAAUAUUAUAGACCUGCUAGUCACUCAUUAGAAAUCAUGCUUAAAGGUAUUCAAAUUGACAUAUAAUACUCAUAUGCUUGGUAUCAAUUACAUGUAUUUUGUCCCACAAGAAAGCAGAAAGUUUUUUGGUGAUACACAGGCACAGACUUUUUGUACCACGCUCCCAGCAAGGAGCCUGCUGGAAAUCAUACGAACAAACAGCUUUUUCUUAAUGGCAGCUGAGUCGGUUGAUCAUCUAUCGGGUCGUGAAAUGUCUUUUUCUAGCGAACUAUGUGGGGAGUUGUGACAGGAGUUGCAGAUAUCUGAUAUAAAGACUGAUAACCAAACAGUGAGUGGUGUAGCAAAAAGAAUGAGACCUACAGGCACCAUCCACUGCUGUUCAUUUGUAGGAUGAUAAUAAAACUCCCACCAAGCCAAUAUUAGCCCACCCACCAUGCUUACUGAAAAUGAUCCCAAGCAAACUAUCCAUAUCUUUACAAUCCUCAGAAAUCUUCUGUAUCUCUCAUCUUCCGUGUCUUCAUAUGAUGCCAUCAAGUGUCUGAUGUCGAAAUCCUUUACGUGUUUUCUUCGCGUGGAAAAGUUUUGAUAGAACAACGAGAGAUUAGACGACUGAAACCUACUGAAACAGAAAUGGUAAGAGGCUUUAUAUAUAGAUGCCUUGAAUUAGGCAGGCUAUUCCCAUUGAACCUCCAUCAGACGUGCCUUUUGACUAAAGUUGUUCCCUGUAGAAACCAUCAUCAUGUAGAGAGGAAGAACAUCAUUGCGUCUCGGUUUUUCUAUACAAGAAGUGAUUGAUAGAGGUUUGUGCUGGGGUAGAUUCAUUUCGUUUAAUAAGCCUAUCAAAAUUUCAUUUGACAAGUGGCUUCUUUGAUACGUAAGAAAUUGAUGGGGGAAUUAUUAUUUGGAGGAGGUAUAUAUCAUAGACAAAGUGAAUUCAAUGCAUAUCUAAACAAGCAAUGUGAAAGUUACAUGUUUCCAAGUUAUUUUAGGAAUUUAUGUAGAAUACUGGGGUCUUUGGGGGGCCUACAACUUGAAUAUAUA